rnacentral:rRNA from 1 species
UACGAAGGGGGCUAGCGUUGUUCGGAAUUACUGGGCGUAAAGCGCACGUAGGCGGAUCGAUCAGUCAGGGGUGAAAUCCCAGGGCUCAACCCUGGAACUGCCUUUGAUACUGUCGAUCUGGAGUAUGGAAGAGGUGAGUGGAAUUCCGAGUGUAGAGGUGAAAUUCGUAGAUAUUGGGAAGAACACCGGUGGCGAAGGCGGCGACCUGGUCCGAUACUGACGCUGAGGCGCGAAAGCGUGGGGAGCAAACAGG